UACGGGGGGAGCAAGCGUUGUUCGGAUUUACUGGGCGUAAAGGCUCGUAGGCGGCCAACUAAGUCAGACGUGAAAUCCCAGGCUUAACCUGGGAACUGCGUCUGAUACUGGAUGGCUUGAAUUCGGGAGAGGGAUGCAGAAUUCCAGGUGUAGCGGUGAAAUGCGUAGAUAUCUGGAGGAAUACCGGUGGCGAAGGCGGCAUCCUGGACCGACAUUGACGCUGAGGCACGAAGGCCAGGGAGCAAACGGG
rnacentral:rRNA from 1 species